AAAGCUUACAAGGUCAGAGACUUAUAUGAUAUUUUUAUUAGUUGGAGAGACAUACUUUCAGAGUCAAGAGGGGCAAGAAUUGGUGAGAAAAUGAAACAGAGUUCUACUAAUAUGUUCUUUAUUUUUUGAGAUUUAAAUCAUCGUUCUCAAGAUUUUUUAGAACCAUCUGCCUGGCUGCAUGAAAAUCCCCUUGUCUCUCAGACACGUGUCAGUGCACAAAUUCAUCUUGGAGCUGAAGAUGUGCCCCGAGCUUGGACCUCUGUUCUCACCAGAGUGAGGAAGGCUGAAGUGAGAAUGAUAGUUCAAGGUCUGAGUGUUCCUGUAAAAGCUCCAAAGCCAGCUUCUCAAGACGUGAUGCUGUAAAGACCUGGCCUGUAGGCUUGGAAAGGACUUUGAACUCAUUGAGGUGUAGAUUCACAGCCCCUAAUGAGCAUUAGCUGUAAUCAAUCAAUCAGUGAUGUAAUCAAGAGGAUGAAUUCA